rnacentral:rRNA from 1 species
ACGUAGGGCGCAAGCGUUAUCCGGAAUUAUUGGGCGUAAAGAGCUCGUAGGCGGUUUCGUAAGUCUGUCGUGAAAUCCCCGGGCUUAACCUGGGAAUGGCGAUGGAGACUGCGAGGCUAGAGUUUGGCAGAGGGGGGUAGAAUUCCACGUGUAGCAGUGAAAUGCGUAGAGAUGUGGAGGAACACCGAUGGCGAAGGCAAUCCCCUGGGCCUGCACUGACGCUCAUGCACGAAAGCGUGGGGAGCAAACAGGA